GGGUGAGUAAUAUAUCGGAACGUACCGAGUAAUGGGGGAUAACCAAUCGAAAGAUUGGCUAAUACCGCAUACGUCCUAAGGGAGAAAGCGGGGGAUCGCAAGACCUCGCGUUAUUCGAGCGGCCGAUAACUGAUUAGCUAGUUGGUGGGGUAAAGGCCUACCAAGGCGACGAUCAGUAGCGGGUCUGAGAGGACGAUCCGCCACACUGGGACUGAGACACGGCCCAGACUCC
rnacentral:rRNA from 1 species